UUCUACGGCCAUACUACCCUGAACACGCCUGAUCCCCUCUGAUCUCAGAAGCUAAGCAGGGUCAGGCCUGGUUAGUACUUGGAUGGGAGACCGCCCUGGGAACACUGGGUGCUGUAGGCU
rnacentral:rRNA from 1 species